CACCAAAGGAACCGACACAAACCCCUAUACAUAACCACUAACCACACGAGUAGAGAUCACCAUGACUAAAUGGCAACCUGCUUCGUUGUGGCAUUAGAAUUAAAUUAUGGUCAUGGUGAUUCAAGAAACCCAGUUUUGGUCAACACAGCAUUUCUAACUUUACUAAGAUCCCUACCUUUGAGGGUCCUGCCAACUCCUUCAAAAACAGAAAAUGAGGAAAUCUG
rnacentral:misc_RNA from 1 species